rnacentral:pre_miRNA from 1 species
UAAAUACUCCCUCCGUCCGAAAAUACUUGUCAUCAAAAUGGAUAAAAAGAGAUGUAUCUAGAAUUAAAAUAUGUCUAGAUACAUUUCCUUUUAUCCAUUUUGAUGACAAAUAUUUCCGGACGGAGGGAGUAUUUG